rnacentral:rRNA from 1 species
GUCCACGCCGUAAACGAUGAGAACUAGAUGUCGGGGGAAUCGACCCCUCCGGUGUCGCAGCUAACGCAUUAAGUUCUCCGCCUGGGGAGUACGAUCGCAAGGUUGAAACUCAAAGGAAUUGACGGGGGCCCGCACAAGCGGUGGAGUAUGUGGUUUAAUUCGAUGCAACGCGAAGAACCUUACCUGGCCUGGAAUUGCAGCUGCUAAUCCUUUGAAAGAGGGACUCCUUCGAGGGUGCUGCAGAGGUGCUGCAUGGCUGUCGU